rnacentral:rRNA from 2 species
AUAGGGAAGCCGUAGAGAAAUCGAGUCCGAAUAGGGCGAUCAGUCGCUGGGUGUAGACCCGAAACCAAGUGAUCUACUCAUGGCCAGGAUGAAGGUGCGGUAACACGCCCUGGAGGUCCGAACCCACUAAUGUUGAAAAAUUAGGGGAUGAGCUGUGGGUAGGGGUGAAAGGCUAAACAAACUUGGAAAUAGCUGGUUCUCUCCGAAAACUAUUUAGGUAGUGCCUCAAGUAUCACCAUCGGGGGUAGAGCACUGUUAUGGCUAGGGGGUCAUUGCGACUUACCAAACCAUUGCAAACUCCGAAUACCGAUGAGUGCGAGCUUGGGAGACAGACGUCGGGUGCUAACGUCCGGCGUCAAGAGGGAAACAACCCAGACCGCCAGCUAAGGUCCCAAAGAUUGGCUAAGUGGAAAACGAAGUGGGAAGGCUAAAACAGUCAGGAUGUUGGCUUAGAAGCAGCCAUCAUUUAAAGAAAGCGUAAUAGCUCACUGAUCGAGUCGUCCUGCGCGGAAGAUGUAACGGGGCUAAGCCAGUCACCGAAGCUGCGGAUAUCCUUUAUUGGAUAUGGUAGGAGAGCGUUCUGUAAGCCUGCGAAGGUGUCUUGUAAAGGAUGCUGGAGGUAUCAGAAGUGCGAAUGCUGACAUGAGUAGCGAUAAUGGGGGUGAAAAGCCUCCACGCCGUAAGCCCAAGGUUUCCUGUUCAACGUUCAUCGGAGCAGGGUGAGUCGGCCCCUAAGGCGAGGCAGAGAUGCGUAGCUGAUGGGAAGCAGGUUAAUAUUCCUGCACCGUCGUAUGAUGCGAUGGGGGGACGGAUCGCGGAAGGUUGUCUGACUGUUGGAAUAGUCAGUUUCUGUCUCAUAGAAGGCGCUUAGGCAAAUCCGGGCGCGGAAUUCAAGGGGAUGGGACGAGUGAACUUGUUCACGAAGCAAUCGGAAGUGGUUCCAAGAAAAGCCUCUAAGCUUCAGUCAUACGAGACCGUACCGCAAACCGACACAGGUGGGCGAGAUGAGUAUUCUAAGGCGCUUGAGAGAACUCGGGAGAA